AGGGUUUGAUUAUGGCUCAGAACGUACGCUGGCGGCACGCCUAACACAUGCAAGUCGAACGAAGUAGCAAUACUUAGUGGCAGACGGGUGAGUAACAUGUAGGUAUCUACCCUUUGGCCUGGAAUAACACGAGGAAACUUGUGCUAAUACCAGAUAAGUCUUUACGGAGAAAGCUUUAUGCACCAUUGGAUGAGCCUGCACUUGAUUAGUUUGUUGGUGGGGUAAUGGCCUACCAAGACUGUGAUCAAUAGCUGAUUUGAGAGGAUGAUCAGCCACAUUGGGACUGAGACACGGCCCAAACUCCUACGGGAGGCAGCAGUGGGGAAUCUUGCACAAUGGAGGAAACUCUGAUGCAGCGAUGCCGCGUGAGUGAAGAAGGCCUUUGGGUUGUAAAGCUCUUUCGUCGGGGAAGAAAAUGACUGUACCCGAAUAAGAAGGUCCGGCUAACUUCGUGCCAGCCGCCGCGGUAAUAC
rnacentral:rRNA from 1 species